UCGUACAUAUACUUAUACAAUAAAAUAUGUUCAAAUAAAAAAUAAAAAAAAAGACGGUACAUUCACAACACACAUAUUGAGAUAUCCCUAUACAUUUAUAUAUCUCUUAGAAGGAAAUCGUCUAGCUGUGUUCAAAUACCCAUGACAAAACAAUGAAAUUAAUCUUGGAAUACCUGCAUGAAUACACAAAUGUGCAUGACCUUGUCAUCAAACAGAAACAUAACAUUCACAGAUUUAUCCAUAAGACCUGGUAUUUACAAUUUUUGCCGUUUCAGAUAGUCAAAAAGCUGUUUGUAUUGCCUGUAUUAAGACAAUAAUCAAAUUCAUUACAAUCCCUAAAGACUAUAACUGUGUUUAAAUGUAUAUGUACACCAGUAAAAUAUGAAUUCCAGGAGUUACUUUGUAUACAUGUCAUUUUUGUUUUCAAAGAAUUGCAAUUACUAGCAAUAUGAAUGCAUCUACUAUCUAAAUAAAUACAUCUUUUAAUACCAAUUAAACCAAACUGCAUUCUGGUAUCUUUAAAAGUGAAUAAAUAUUUACAAAUUUUCAUAUCAUUUCCAUGUAUCGUUACGUUUCACUGAUGUUGAAAAGCAAAGCAGCCACAAAGAAGAAAAAUCUGCUGCAGCAGAACCAAUAUCUACCGGUAUGUCCCCUGAGGAGGGAUCAAGGAAGGACUGAUGAAUAGUCAUUUAGGGGGUAGAACCUUUCAUGCAAUGGACCCAAUGAUUUACCCAUAAUGUUAUCAAAUCUGUGACUUUAUGUGAAAUAAAAAAUCAAUAUACCAUAUA